CCCGCGCGGCGAUUAAUAAACAUAUCCAGACAUUACGCGACUGGGGAGUAGAUGUAUUUACCGUUCCCGGGAAAGGAUAUAGCUUACCGGAACCCAUCCAGUUACUGGAUGCUGACCGUAUACAUAGCCAACUGGAUAGCGGAAACGUGGCGGUAUUGCCCGUUAUCGAUUCAACCAAUCAGUAUUUACUUGAUCGAAUUGGUGAGCUGCGCUCAGGCGAUGCCUGUGUAGCAGAAUACCAACAGGCAGGGCGUGGUCGUCGCGGGCGUAAAUGGUUCUCACCGUUUGGCGCGAAUCUAUAUCUUUCAAUGUACUGGCGUCUGGAGCAGGGGCCUGCGGCGGCAAUAGGCUUGAGUCUGGUCAUUGGAAUUGUGAUGGCGGAAGUGCUGCGUGAACUGGGCGCAGAUAAAGUUCGCGUGAAGUGGCCUAACGACCUCUACCUACUGGAUCGCAAGCUGGCGGGUAUUCUGGUCGAGUUAACCGGUAAAACGGGCGAUGCCGCACAAAUAGUGAUUGGCGCUGGUAUUAACAUGGCAAUGCGUCGUGUAGAAGAGGACGUGAUAAAUCAGGGAU
rnacentral:rRNA from 1 species